CCGCGGUAAAACGUAGGUACCGAGCGUUAUCCGGAUUUACUGGGCGUAAAGCGCGUUCAGGCGGUUUGGCAAGUCGGGCAUGAAAUCUCUCGGCUCAACCGGGAGAGGUUGUCCGAUACUGCUGGACUUGAGGGCAGUAGAGGGUGGUGGAAUUCCGGGUGUAGUGGUGAAAUGCGUAGAUAUCCGGAGGAACACCAGUGGCGAAAGCGGCCACCUGGACUGUACCUGACGCUCAAACGCGAAAGCUAGGGGAGCGAACGGGAUUAGAAACCCCGGUAGUCCUAGCUAUAAACGAUGUUGACUAGGUGUCGACGGUCUAAACCCCGCCGGUGCCGGANCAAACGCAUUAAGUCAACCGCCUGGGGACUACGGCCGCAAGGUUAAAACUCAAAGG
rnacentral:rRNA from 1 species